GGGCGCUUAGCUCAGCUGGCGAGAGCGCCGCCCUUACAAGGCGGAGGUCGGGGGUUCGAAGCCCUCAGCGCCCA
rnacentral:tRNA from 1 species